UCAAUAUUGGGCCUUAUGGGCCUCACUUACAGGCACCCAAUGCUUCGUUGGGCUGGAAAAGCACACACUUUUUGGUACUGUCAGGGAUAGAAAUGUAAGAACGACAUCGUUAUCGUAAAGUAUAUAUAGGUCUUCGCUGGAGAGCUUUUCAAUCUUCACCUCAUCUCAUCGCAUCGAAUUGAGGUUGGCGCUUAGUUUGAGUUUUGCUGCUAUAGAGAUUUGAUGGGAGAUUGAUGAAUUUCUCUUUACGUUGGAUUCGAAGUCGUACGACAAAGUUGCGGAUGUAUGCGAUAACCUAAUGCUUCAGGUUGCAGCUGAUGACAUUGCUUACAAGGACGAUUCGCCCUACGCCAUUCACCUCCUCGCUCACUUUUAUGUUCAUGACAUCAACAGUGCGCGCUUUCUUUGGAAAUCGAUACCUUCGUCAAUCAAAGAAAGCCAGCCUGAAGUCACCGCGGUUUGGAAAAUCGGUUAGAAGCUCUGGUUACUUGACUAUGCUGGAGUGCACAAGGCAAUCCGUGGCUUUGAUUGGAGUCAGGAUGUCCAAGGUCUAGCUGCUGCAUUUUUAGGCAAAAUUUUAAAAACCUGUUGUACGAGUCUAUUCACUUUGUCACUUCGAAUGUCUUCUAAACAAUCCAACUGUAUAUAUGUAAAUUAUGUUGUGUUUGAGACGAAAGCUUUUAUCCAAGGUCAUAACUUCAUAAAAAAUGUUGUCCUCACUUUAUUAUAAUCCGUUUCAUGUUAAUUUUAUUGAAUGUUAAUUAUAGACUACGUGUUAUACUUUCUGGGUCGGGAAAUUGGUGAAGAGUCUAUGUGUGGAUCAAUUAAUUUGUUUAAAGUAUUAUUGGUUUUAUGUAACACUAUGCAUUGUUAUUUUUGCUGUGAGAUUUCCGUAAUGGUUGAAAGCACUGGGACCGUAUAAUUAUUAGUUUGGAGAGAACAAAAUGUAUUAUAUUUUAAACCUCGAAAAAUUAAAAAUGUUUUGGUUGGACUUUCCUUACCCCCUACACAUAUAACAUGAAAAUAUGUUUAUGUAGACGAAUGUUGUAAUUUCUUGGGCUAACGUGUACCGAAGAUAGAGGAUGUAUAGAUAUUGCAUAAAAGUAGUGAAGUAGUAAUGUAUUGUGCUCCUUCACAAUAACUUAUGUUUUGUUUUAUUAAAUAUGCUUCUUUGUUUUAUAUUGCUUUCCAAAUAGCUUUGUGCACCUAUAUCUGGUGUUUAGUACGAUAAAAAUGUUAACACCAAUAAAAUUUUCCAAAACUUUACACAAGGGAGAUGUUUCAGCUGCUUUUCUCUGCUUAUUCAACAAUAAGCAUUAAAGACACUGCUUUAUUUCUGGGAAUGAUUGAAGAUGAUGCUACAAACUAUGUACUACAACAAGGCUGGACUGUCGACCCUGCCUCUCAGAUGCUUAUUGUAAAGAAACAACCUGUUUUGACCGCGCAGAACCUUGAUCAUAGUAAAUUGCAGGGAUUGACCGAAUAUGUCUUCCAUCAUAAGCAUCGAAGCUUUUAGUUAUGAAGAAUUAGAUGUUUCAUUUUAUAUGAAAUUCUUCUCAAAUUGAUCAAUCAAACGUUCUAUGUUCUUGAAAGUGAAUGUAUACUGUUGAUAAUUUUGUAGCUAAUCUCUAUGUUUUUUAAUUUUAGCACCGAUUGGUGAAAUUCACGUCUCACUUGAUAGUUUUUCGACAAUUCUCUC